CACGUAGGGUGCGAGCGUUGUCCGGAAUUAUUGGGCGUAAAGAGCUCGUAGGCGGUGUGUCGCGUCGGCCGUGAAAACCUGCAGCUUAACUGUGGGCUUGCGGUCGAUACGGGCAUCACUGGAGUUCGGCAGGGGAGACUGGAAUUCCUGGUGUAGCAGUGAAAUGCGCAGAUAUCAGGAGGAACACCGAUGGCGAAGGCAGGUCUCUGGGCCACUACUGACGCUGAGAAGCGAAAGCAUGGGGAGCGAACAGG
rnacentral:rRNA from 1 species